UGUCUAUUAGGUCCAUUUGAUCUAUAGUGCAGUGUUAUAUUUUAUAAUCAAAAUUAAAUUUUAUUGAUUGUUUACAAAAUUUUGAAAAACUAAUUGGCUUCAUGCUGUUUUUAAUUAGAAUUUUUAGUUAGAAAAUUAAGUCUCCUUGCUCAAAGAAUGAAGGUUUUUACUUUUUUGGAAAUCCUUGAAUUAUCACUUUGGUUAAAUGACUUUACAAUGACCUGUAAUCUUAUUUUGUAAUAUCAAGUGUUUAAAACCUUUUAUAUUUGACAAACUUUCCAAAAUCAAAUUAUAAAUUAUGUCUUUUUGUAACCUAAUUAAUCUUUUAAGACAUUAGGCUCUUUAAAGUCCAAAAAAAUGACAUAGUUUGGCUUACUGGGUAUAAAAAUUAUACAGGAAGCAUUGUCAAAUAUGAAAUAGUGUUUGGUUUUCUUUGGGCUGUAUUUGUAUAAAUAUGUUAUUAGUAUGUGUUCCAAAAUUAUGGGAAACUCCUGUAAUUCUGAUAAAACUUAUUGUACAUUAUCAGUAAUAAUCAUAAUCAUUAUGUCAAAAUUAUUGUGAACCACAGAUAUAACAAAUUUCCUUGUCAAUUGUGUCUUUUGACUAUGAUUGCCUCACACCUUUUUUUUCAUCCACAGACAAUUGUUCUUGGAGUGUUCUUGGACAUGAUUGUCUUGUUUAGGUCUUGUUUAGAACGUAGCUUUAUAAUCAGCUAUAAAACUCCUACAGGUGCUCUUAAAUGCAGGUGUCUGAUAACUCUGGAGAUUGUGACAUCAGAAUAGAGGAAAAACUUUCAGGACUCAUGGAGAGCUGAAAUGUUCA
rnacentral:lncRNA from 1 species